rnacentral:rRNA from 1 species
UACGGAGGGUGCGAGCGUUGUCCGGAAUCACUGGGCGUAAAGGGCGCGUAGGUGGCCUGUGGAAGUCUGCGGUGAAAGCCCGGCGCUCAACGCCGGGUCGGCCGUGGAUACUCUCGGGCUCGAGCUUACUAGAGGCAGAUGGAAUUCCGGGUGUAGCGGUGGAAUGCGUAGAGAUCCGGAAGAACACCGGUGGCGAAGGCGGCUCACUGGCCCGGUACGUGACGACUGA